rfam:Ictidomys tridecemlineatus contig117002, whole genome shotgun sequence.
GACCUGAAAGAUGAUCAAUUAUGCCUGGACAGGCCAAAGCCAGGAGAAACUCUGGUGGAGGUCCGUAGGGGUCCUGACAUGCAAAUCCACAAAUUCGUAGUCUGACCUAGGUAUAGGGGUAAAUACUAAUCUAACCAUCUAGUAGCUGA